rnacentral:rRNA from 1 species
UCAUGUAAUGAUUUCCUAGUGGUAUUAUGUACAUUCCUACAUCAAAACUCCAUAAUUAAGCGUGCUUGGGCUAGAGUUGUACUGGGAUGGGUGACCUCCUGAGAAGUCCUAGAGUUUUCCAUGCC